AGAAGACUAGGAGAAAGAAAGUGUGCAGUAAAAGAGUCAGGAGAACAAGUGUGGUCAGGUACCAAGGAGGGGCCAUUUGGGGAUGUAGCCCAGGGAAGGGCUAUAGCUCCAGUAGUAUAGGAAAACUACCUGUUGCUGCAGCCAAUUAGGGUCCCUGGGCUGGAACCCAGAGAAGAGGGUGGGCCUGGAUUCCCCCCAACCUCUACACAAACGCUUCCUGAGAAAGAAGAUAGGGGCUAAAGAGGGCUCUUACACCAAACCCAUUGACUGGCUAAUGAUGAAGAUCUUUUAAUCUACUGAAGAUGCAGAAAACCAGUUGUGCACAGAGCAGAAGAAAGGGCUGGGUGAAUGGAGCACCGUGGUGAGGGCCAGACACUGUACAAUCAAGCUGUGACUGAACGCGGCUCCUCUGACACCACAAACUGGUGCUGAUGCUCCACAUGGAUCCCCUCCAGCUUCAGAGAGGAACCCAAGCAUCUGCCCUUAAUUGACACAUGGCUGCAGCGGUGAUGACCACACCUGGAUUUGGGAGGGGCUGGAGAAUGAGGCUGUCACAGUUCAGGAUGGACGAACUUCUCCAGAUAAAAUAACAAUCUCACCCUGCACAAACAAUAAUAAACGCCUCCUCUUCCACUUCCUCUGCCAAAAAACCUCACCUUGGCCUCCUUUCAGAAUCAACUGGAUGUUGCAGUGAAACCUGACUGAAAUUUGAGGAAGAUUCACCUGCCCCCCUAAUGCUCUAAUGCCCUGCAGUUAUUUAACCCAGGUUAAAUUCUUCCAUCAACCUAGAUGCG